rnacentral:rRNA from 1 species
GUCCACGCCCUAAACGAUGUCAACUGGUUGUUGGACGGCUUGCUGUUCAGUAACGAAGCUAACGCGUGAAGUUGACCGCCUGGGGGAGUACGGCCGCAAGGUUGAAACUCAAAAGGAAUUGACGGGGACCCGCACAAGCGGUGGAUGAUGUGGUUUAAUUCGAUGCAACGCGAAAAACCUUACCUACCCUUGACAUGUCAAGAAUUUUGCAGAGAUGUGAAAAGUGCUCGAAAAGAGAACUUGAACACAGGUGCUGCAUGGCCGUCGU